UUCUGGAGUUAAGAUGUGAGAACCGCAGGUACUCAAGCAGAGUAAAGGAUGGCAGCUCUAAAAGUUGAUGAUGAAGCCUCUCUACCAAAGUGACUCCUGUUCUUCACGGAACACACUCUGUGGCAUGUUGUUUCCACUCAAAGAUGCAGUAGUCUCAUCCUAGUAUUUAUUGAAUAACCAAGAAGCUGUGAAGAAUUUGGAUGAAGGAGCUCACUUGGCAUCCCUUCCCUCUCCUUGUGUGUUCUGACUUCACCAUGUGCUGUUUUUAUCUCUGUCAUUGGAGACGUGCUUCAUAGAAUGCUGUGUACUAAGGAGAUAAAGCUUUAUGUGAUGAGACUAUCCAGAUCAAGCUUAAAGUUUGACAAGCUUCAGGUUUCCAAGCUAUUUCAUACAUGACUCCCACUGAUCAUUUAGGAUUGUUUAUAGGUUUCAGGCUGGUGGAGAGCUGUGGUUUCUUUGGGCACUUUUAUACACGCUCUGACACAUUCUGAUUAGAACGUGUGGGAGCAGACUUAAUUAUACGACUCUGCUGGAGUAUUUUAAUCAGAAGGUUCCCGCAUGCUGCAGCGUCUCAUGUGUUCAGUGUCCCAUGUUUCAAAAUGGUAGCUGGGUGCUUUAACUAAAGCUCAUUGAACAAGUUUUUGUUGAAUCGCCCCUGUUGCCAUUUUGAAAUGUGGGACACUAAGUAUGCAAGAUGAUGUUGGCACUUUAAUUAGAGCAGCUCUCUGGAGCUGCUCAAAUUAAAACAGUUCCUCUCUGACCCCCACCCACCCACCCUGAAACACAUGUAUAGGUCUUUAUUACUACCCUCCUGUUCAGCAUUUCGUUCAACUAAAGCAGAGGAUAGUUCUAACUUUCUAACAAAAAAUACUUUGUGGAAAUUGUGGGACAUAGUAAUGUAUUCCACUCUCCACCUGACCCUCUCAAAUCUUGUCUGUGUUAGUUUUACACAGGGAAAGUCCCUCAACCUUUAUCCCAGGGCAGUGGAUAAAAAAAUUAAGAGACUUCUCUUCCUGAAAGUGGGGAAUCUUUAGAGCAUCAGCAGCUUAUUAUUCUAAAGUGUGCAGCUUUCUUAUGAGAUGGGCUAUCUCUUCUAGGAGCCCAGAAAGUUUCUCCUAGUAUGGAUCAAAGAACAAUGCACUAAAUGUCUUGGUUACUCAGUCCUUAUAUGCAUAUUUCUCUUCUGAAAUGCUAUAAAAAGCAUUUGUUUGAAGCCCUCUAGUCACAUCAAAGGUGCACAUAAAUGAGUGAUUAAACUGGACUGGAUGGCAAAUGCAUCUCUAUUAUAAGAGGUGGAGAGCAGGGGCCCUUUCCUAUCUCUUUGAUGAUCAGCAAUCAGCAUAGCUGAAACAUAACUAUGACUCAGUAAGUUAAGAAUAUUGGAAGUUAAGAAUAAACUAAGGCUAGUUUCAAGGCUUCAGUUCAUGGGAACUAGACAGAUUAAUUUGAAUAUGAAAUGACAUAAAUAGCUUAAGAAAUGUGUUUGUCCAUUUUGAAGCCAAGGAAUUUAGAACUGGAGCCAUUUAGCACUAAUUCCAAUACUGAAGAAUGCUAACUCCAAGGAUCAUCCCAGGCAAAGAUUAAAAAUUAGAAGUGGUGUUGAGAACUGAAACUCUUACCUCUUUUUACCUGAGACAAUACACUUUGGGCCAGACAUUUGGGCCAGAUCCAAAAAGGCUAUGUUGGCAUCAAGCUUAUAUUUAGGUUCUGAAAUUCUCAUUGAAAUCAAUGAGGGUAGAAGUGUCGAAACAGGACAUCUUUUAAUUACCAACAGCAGCAAUAAAACGCUCCAAAAUAAUGGUUAAAUUGUGGCUAACCACUUCUGUACCCUCUUCUGGCUGUCUAUUACUCUAGACUGAAAUGAGUUUGUUUUGAAGUGACUAUUUUUUUUUCAUUAUGGUAAAGAUUUUGCAUUGGAAAGGCUGAAUCAUGACACUAAGGGAGUAAAAAAUGUUGCUCAUCAGAAGGGGAUUAAUUCCUCAUUGAUUUUAAUAUUCUGUUAUUGCAGCUACCUCUGCAUGCAGACUUUGUUUCAUAUUUGGGUCAAGAAACAAAGAUGUAUGAGGUAACUAGAGAACGUUUUUCAUAGUUCAGUAUAGUUUCACAGUUUAGUUUUCAUUGUUCAGUACACCACAGGCAGAAUAGAUUAUUUACACUGUCAUGGCAGCAUCUAGAGAAAUAAAGCAAGAUUUGGGCCUUGUGAGGGGCACCAAUUUAACAUAAAGGUAGAAAUGGGUUUUGCCUCAAAUGAUUUGCAAGCUUGCUUCUAUUUGCCAUGCUUGCUGUCAGAGCAGCAGAGAGGAGCAGAAUGUUAGUGUAAGCUUCUUCAUUCUUCUCCUGAUUCCUGUUAGGCUUUUUGUGAGCAAGGUUUGGCUCUCCUGUGCAAGGUAUAUUGAACUUUGUAGUAUUUGCUGUGAAUCAGACCAAAGCAUAUUAAAUUAAGUUGGAAAUUAAUUAAAAAGCUUGUUAAAUGAAAAACAAACUGUGGUUCAGAGCAUGGGCAACUGGUGCCACCUUAGCCAGGAGGGGCACGCACCCCCACCCCCCGUGACCAGUUAGUGACUGGGGGGGUCCCCCUGAGGCCGAUCGUGGUGACUGGGGAAGUGGCUGCAGCACUCUCGGAAAUGGCUGCAGCUCUUCAUCUGGUGCUCCCACUCCCGGGGCUUGCAGGUGGGGACACCAGUGCUCCUGCCAGCCCCCCGUGCCUGUCAUUUAGGUGGGGAGCGUGACCUGUCAGGGGGUGUAUAUGUACCCCCUAUGCAUCACCACUGGUUCAGAGCCUCAGCAGUCCACCUCAAAAACUUUAGGGUCAUAAAUUAAUUGUCCAAAGCUUAGCAUCCAGCAGAAGAAACCACCAUGACUAUACUAAGAAAACUACCAAUUGCUGAUACUGGGGUCAGUAGUAUUGCAGCUGAAUGUGGAGUAAUUACAAAGGGAGACGAGAACAAGUAAUGUUCAGCACCAUGUCAAAAACGGUGUUUAAACCCGAGCAUGCCAAGCAAGCUUUAUUUUAUGAUGUGCAGCACACAUGUAACUCACCCAUUUUCAUAGGUCAUUUCUGUUGACAUAAACAAAAAUCUACUAGGGAUUUUAGGGGAAAAAGCAAAUCUGGUGAAUCCAAAGGAGUAAUGCAGGACAAUUGUUGAUGCAUCCUGAGAGUAAUUUUCUGGGCAAUAAGUUGCUUAACAGGAAGCCAAUGAAGCAAUUGCAGAGUGGGAGUGAUUUGCUGUGAUAGGUUAGUGGGAGUAAUUACCCUAACAGCAGCUUUCUGAAGCAUCUGCAGAUGCCAUUACACUUUAUGAGGUAGUUCACUGAGCAGUACUGAGGCCAUCACUCUCAGGCGUUAUAGUUAAUCAGAAGUAUUGGAGCUAUGUUGAAGAGUUCCGCGAUAUUAAUAGUCUCUGACAUUUCAAAUAAAAAAACCAGCAUCUCUAUGUUACUAAAUAAAAACAAAUUCCAGAUGUGUUUCAGAGAUGGUUACCAACAAAGCUGACACUGCCAAUCCUAUCACUUAGAACUAUUUUACAGGUGCUGUAGGAUGUGGCGCUGGGUCCUUUAAUUGGUGAGCCACGCUAAUUAAAAGCACCUGUGUGUCAUGUAUCAGCAUCCCUGUGCGUCCCCAUGCUGAAAAAAUGGUGGCAGGGCACUGUGAACUAAAGCUCAUAGAACGUGUUUUAUUUCAAAGCACCCCACUGCCAUUUUUUCAGCACAGGGACACACAGGGACACUGAUACGUGUGAUGCAGAAGGUUGCCAGAGCAUGUCAAUUUUUGUGCUCCGGUAGACUCAAUGAAUCAAGCCUGCUCCAACAUGUAGGAUUUCCAGUGCGUUAGAGCAGGCUCCCUGCAUGUCUGUAGGAGCCCUUAGUCUUCUGCCUUAAUUGUCUUUUCUAAUCUUCUCUCCUGUACUCCUCACUGUAGAGUGCAUCACUAAUUGCAUCAAGCAGCUUUUGUUGCACUAUAUCUAUAAAAGAAAGAAAUAGCUUAUCUCUAUUAAUUUGAUAACUGCACUUACUGUGACCUUUGUGGGUCAACUUUGAGGCAUCCAUAGCCCAGUAUGUACUAUAAUGUCUCUCACUGAUUGGUGAUUUUGAAGCAUUUAGAAAUGAAUUUAUGAAGAUAUGUUGACCUGGUUUAACUCUGUAAUUUGGUAUUUUGGUUUAUUGCCAUGGCUAACUUCAUGAAUCACAACUGUGUCCUGCUGUUCUCAUCGAAAGGGAGGUUUUGAAUUUGUCUUUUUGCACAAAUGAUUUAGGAUGUUCGAUGUUAGCAAACACUGCAAGAAAGUUCAGGAGGAAAGAACAUAGCCAUGUGAUCUGGUAAUGCAUCGACAGAUGAAAUAAAAGCGUUGACAAAUGCAAGGUAAUGUACAUGAAAGGAAUCAUCUAAAUUACUCAAACCGGUUCCUGGGUUUUAUAUGUGCAGCGGCAGCCUUAACCAGCAAACACAAACAACUUAUUUGGUUGUGUAAAGAACGUUACAGAAAAUGAAAUCUAGAAUACUACAAUUCUGUCAUAGCAAACAGUAUGGGCUACCAAUGUCCCUCCAUUAAUUUCAGUGGAGUUAUAAUAGAGAUUAAUUUGGUUCCAAAUGGAUUAAUAAAAUAAGUAAAUGUAUUGCUAGAGAAUACAUUAGCAAAUCCCAUUGUAGUCUAUCAGCUCUUACUGAAAGGUUUGUAAUGAUUCAAUCUGGAAGUAAAAUGCAUACUACUUUUUUCAAUUAAUUCCUCAUAUCAAUUAUCCCCUAAUUUUCUUCAUUAGGAUAGACCCCACCGUAUGACAGAAUAGGCAGAAAGCUAUAGUCCUUUAGUACUGGGAAGCUUGUAAACAUGGGUUGUAGGUUCUGCUGUCUCUCUGAGGGCUGGAUCCUGCUCUUACUGAAGUCGUGACAAAAUUCCCAAUGGAGAAAAGACUGGUUCAUUGCUGUUCCACUUAGUGGUUUGUGUGUAAAUCAAAUGUACUGUUAAGGGCAUUUUAUUCCAAAUGUAGGUGUGUAUGUGUUGUUUUGUUUUUUUUUUUAAGGGUUACCUGAGCACACUAAUACAUGCUCUGUCUUGUUAACAAGAUACAGAAGCCGGAUGAUAUAUAUUAGUAAGAGGCUCACAGAAUACAGUAUCUGAGUGUGGCGUGCCUCGGUGCUGGGUGGGGGUUUGAUUAUGUAAGUUACCUGCUGUGCAUGGCUCAUAAACAGAUACAGCAAGACUGCAGCAUUUGCAGAGGGCUGUUUUAUGAUACACUGGAUUACAGAUAAACAAGCUAAAAUGUCUUUGCUAUUUAGGAGCCCAAAAGCCUUGAUUCCUACUACCAUUCUGAGUAUUAUAUGUACUAGGAGAUCUCAACAUAUCAAGAUUAGCAAAAAGAAAAUAACAGAUUAAAUUCUUCAGUUACAGAAAAUAUCUCUAAUCCUUUUUGCAGACCCCUGCAUGAAGAGUACUGUGUUACACCACUGACAAAUGUUGUUCUGAAGCCAAUCUGACUGGCUAUUGGAAAACUGUUCUGGCAUAGGAGGAUCCUCCAUUUGUUGAGAGUUCAUUGCCCCUUACCUACCAGUGGCCAGAAUAGAAAGGGAAGAGAGGGAAUGACCCCACAGUGUGGGGCAUCUCUGUGCUGUAGAGAUCCUCAGGUACUUCAUCCAUACCUUGGAACCUGUCACAGCUGAAAAAACUUGUAACAUCCUAUAGGCUGCUAUGAUUUGUCAGAAAACCAACACACAUACUAAUCAGGACAGGAGGAGCACAGAAGAGCCAUAAAGAUGCUUCUUCUCAUUGUAUACUUAAGUGCAGACAAGAAUCAGGGCCACUGUGUCUAUUCUUAAAUAUGGACCUUAUACUAAAUGCUGGUAAAUAAUAACAUAGGACAAUUAAGUCAUGCUUAUUCUUUCCCUACAUCAGAACCUACAACAGAGGAAGGUGGAUCAUUAAGAAUUAGAGCAAGAUUUUGGGGGCCCAAAUAAGGGUUAUUCCAUGGGUCUCAUCUUCGGAGGGUUCUGGUCAUUUUAAAUUCUGUAACUUAGAGAAUAAAUUUGACUGUGUGAAAUCAAACGCCUUUCUGUACAAACAUGCAAAUAUAACCUACAUCUCCCUCUGUUCAUGGAUCUAAGACAAAGUCAGAGAAUAAAAAUAAAAUCUCAA